AGAGUUUGAUUAUGGCUCAGGAUGAACGCUAGCGACAGGCUUAACACAUGCAAGUCGAGGGGCAGCGGGGGAGCAGCAAUGCUCCUGCCGGCGACCGGCGCACGGGUGAGUAACACGUAUGGAACCUGCCCGCAGCAGGGGGAUAAGCGGAAGAAAUUCCGUCUAAUACCGCGUAACACCGCGGAGGGGCAUCCCUCGGCGGUUAAAGAUUCAUCGGCUGCGGAUGGCCAUGCGGCGCAUUAGCUAGUCGGCGGGGUAACGGCCCACCGAGGCGACGAUGCGUAGGGGUUCUGAGAGGAAGGUCCCCCACACUGGUACUGAGACACGGACCAGACUCCUACGGGAGGCAGCAGUGAGGAAUAUUGGUCAAUGGCCGGGAGGCUGAACCAGCCAAGUCGCGUGAGGGAAGACGGCCCUACGGGUUGUAAACCUCUUUUGUCAGGGAGCAAGAGGCGGGUCGGGACCUGCUGUGAGAGUACCUGAAGAAAAAGCAUCGGCUAACUCCGUGCCAGCAGCCGCGGUAAUACGGAGGAUGCGAGCGUUAUCCGGAUUUAUUGGGUUUAAAGGGUGCGCAGGCGGAGGCACAAGUCAACGGUAAAAUCGCGGGGCU
rnacentral:rRNA from 1 species